CCCUUAGAGUUUGAUCCUGGCUCAGGACGAACGCUGGCGGCGUGCUUAACACAUGCAAGUCACGGGGGCCCAGCAAUGGGCAACCGGCGAACGGGUGCGUAACACGUGACCAACCUGCCCUCGUGUGGGGGAUAGCCGGGCUAACGCCCGGGUAAUACCGCAUACGUUCCUCUGGGGGAUCCCUGGGGGAGGAAAGCUUUCGGGCGCACGGGGAGGGGGUCGCGGCCUAUCAGCUAGUUGGGGGGGUAACGGCCCACCAAGGCGACGACGGGUAGCUGGUCUGAGAGGAUGGCCAGCCACAUUGGGACUGAGAGACGGCCCAGACUCCUACGGGAGGCAGCAGUGGGGAAUCUUGCGCAAUGGCCGAGAGGCUGACGCAGCGACGCCGCGUGUGGGAGGACGCCUUUCGGGGUGUAAACCACUGUUGCCCGGGACGAACACGGCUAUUCGUAGCCGCUGACGGUACCGGGUGAGGAAGCACCGGCUAACUCCGUGCCAGCAGCCGCGGUAAUACGGAGGGUGCGAGCGUUGUCCGGAAUCAUUGGGCGUAAAGGGCGCGUAGGUGGCCCCUCAAGCGGGCGGUGAAAGUCGGGGGCUCAACCCCCGAUCGGCCGUGCGAACUGGGGGGCUGGAGCACUGUAGAG
rnacentral:rRNA from 1 species